rnacentral:rRNA from 1 species
CGAACGCAUGGCGGCAGGCUUAACACAUGCAAGUCGAGCGGGCAUAGCAAUAUGUCAGCGGCAGACGGGUGAGUAACGCGUGGGAACGUACCUUUUGGUUCGGAACAACUGAGGGAAACUUCAGCUAAUACCGGAUAAGCCCUUACGGGGAAAGAUUUAUCGCCGAAAGAUCGGCCCGCGUCUGAUUAGCUAGUUGGUGAGGUAAUGGCUCACCAAGGCGACGAUCAGUAGCUGGUCUGAGACGGAUGAUCAGCCACAUUGGGAACUGAGACACGGCCCAAACUCCUACGGGAGGCAGCAGUGGGGAAUAUUGGACAAUGGGCGCAAGCCUGAUCCAGCCAUGCCGCGUGAGUGAUGAAGGCCCUAGGGUUGUAAAGCUCUUUUGUGCGGGAAGAUAAUGACGGUACCGCAAGAAUAAGCCCCGGCUAACUUCGUGCCAGCAGCCG